rnacentral:tRNA from 1 species
GCUGGGAUCGUAUAGUGGUUAGUACUCUGCUUUGUGACUGCAGCAACCCCGGUUCGAAGCCGGGUCACAGGC